CACGUAGGAUCCGAGCGUUAUCCGAAUUUACUGGGCGUAAAGCGCGUGCAGGUGGUUCGAUAAGUUGGAUGUGAAAGCUCCUGGCUCAACUGGGAGAGGUCGUUCAAGACUGUCGGACUAGAGGACGGUAGAGGGAGGUGGAAUUUCCGGUGUAGUAGUGAAAUGCGUAGAUAUCGGGAGGAACACCUGUGGCGAAAGCGGCCUCCUGGACCGUUCCUGACGCUAAGACGCGAAAGCUAGGGGAGCGAACGGG
rnacentral:rRNA from 1 species